UGGCGGCGUGCCUAAUACAUGCAAGUCGAGCGAACUGAUUAGAAGCUUGCUUCUAUGACGUUAGCGGCGGACGGGUGAGUAACACGUGGGCAACCUGCCUGUAAGACUGGGAUAACUUCGGGAAACCGAAGCUAAUACCGGAUAGGAUCUUCUCCUUCAUGGGAGAUGAUUGAAAGAUGGUUUCGGCUAUCACUUACAGAUGGGCCCGCGGUGCAUUAGCUAGUUGGUGAGGUAACGGCUCACCAAGGCAACGAUGCAUAGCCGACCUGAGAGGGUGAUCGGCCACACUGGGACUGAGACACGGCCCAGACUCCUACGGGAGGCAGCAGUAGGGAAUCUUCCGCAAUGGACGAAAGUCUGACGGAGCAACGCCGCGUGGAGUGAUGAAGGCUUUCGGGUCGUAAAACUCUGUUGUUAGGGAAGAACAAGUACGAGAGUAACUGCUCGUACCUUGACGGUACCUAACCAGAAAGCCACGGCUAACUACGUGCCAGCAGCCGCGGUAAUACGUAGGUGGCAAGCGUUAUCCGGAAUUAUUGGGCGUAAAGCGCGCGCAGGCGGUUUCUUAAGUCUGAUGUGAAAGCCCACGGCUCAACCGUGGAGGGUCAUUGGAAACUGGGGAACUUGAGUGCAGAAGAGAAAAGCGGAAUUCCACGUGUAGCGGUGAAAUGC
rnacentral:rRNA from 1 species